CAGAGGAUGGGUCUGCGGCCUAUCAGGUAGUAGUGGGUGUAGCGUACCUACUAGCCUACGACGGGUACGGGUUGUGAGAGCAAGAGCCCGGAGAUGGAUUCUGAGACACGAAUCCAGGCCCUACGGGGUGCAGCAGGCGCGAAAACUUUACAAUGCCGGCAACGGCGAUAAGGGGACCUCGAGUGCCAGGUUACAAAUCUGGCUGUCGUGAUGCCUAAAAAGCAUUGCAUAGCAAGGGCCGGGCAAGACCGGUGCCAGCCGCCGCGGUAACACCGGCGGCUCGAGUGGUAACCGUUAUUAUUGGGUCUAAAGGGUCUGUAGCCGGCCGGAUAAGUCUCUUGGGAAAUCCAGCAGCUCAACUGUUGGGCUUUCAGGAGAUACUGUCUGGCUCGAGGCCGGGAGAGGUGAGAGGUACUUCAGGGGUAGGGGUGAAAUCUUGUAAUCCUUGAAGGACCACCAGUGGCGAAGGCGUCUCACCAGAACGGACCUGACGGCAAGGGACGAAAGCUAGGGGCACGAACCGGAUUAGAUACCCGGGUAGUCCUAGCCGUAAACGAUACUCGCUAGGUGUCGGCCACGGUGCGACCGUUGUCGGUGCCGUAGGGAAGCCGUGAAGCGAGC
rnacentral:rRNA from 1 species